rnacentral:rRNA from 1 species
AAGACCUUGCACUUUUGGAGCGGCCGAUGUCUGAUUAGCUAGUUGGUGGGGUAAUGGCCUACCAAAGCUUCGAUCAGUAGCUGGUCUGAGAGGACGGCCAGCCACACUGGGACUGAGACACGGCCCAGACUCCUACGGGAGGCAGCAGUGGGGAAUUUUGGACAAUGGGCGCAAGCCUGAUCCAGCCAUGCCGCGUGAGUGAAGAAGGCCUUCGGGUUGUAAAGCUCUUUCAGCCGGGAAGAAAAGGUUGCGACUAAUAAUCGCAAUCCAUGACGGUACCGAAAGAAGAAGCACCGGCUAACUACGUGCCAGCAGCCGCGGUAAUACGUAGGGUGCGAGCGUUAAUCGGAAUUACUGGGCGUAAAGGGUGCGCAGGCGGUUUUGUAAGUCAGAUGCGAAAUCCCCGGGCUUAACCUGGGAACU